AUUGAAUAAUUGCAAAUCAAUAUAUACUAAAAUUGGAACGAUACAGAGAAGAUUAGCAUGGCCCCUGCAUAAGGAUGAGAUGCAAAUUCAUGAAGCAUUCCACAUUUUU